UACGGAGGGUGCAAGCGUUAUCCGGAUUUACUGGGUUUAAAGGGUGCGUAGGUGGGCAGGUAAGUCAGUGGUGAAAUCCCCGGGCUUAACCCGGGAACUGCCAUUGAUACUAUCUGUCUUGAAUAUCCUGGAGGUGAGCGGAAUAUGUCAUGUAGCGGUGAAAUGCUUAGAUAUGACAUAGAACACCCAUUGCGAAGGCAGCUCACUACGGGAUUAUUGACACUGAGGCACGAAAGCGUGGGGAUCAAACAGG
rnacentral:rRNA from 1 species